GGAAUCUUCCGCAAUGGACGAAAGUCUGACGGAGCAACGCCGCGUGAGUGAUGAAGGUUUUCGGAUCGUAAAACUCUGUUGUCAGGGAAGAACAAGUGCCGGAGUAACUGCCGGCACCUUGACGGUACCUGACCAGAAAGCCACGGCUAACUACGUGCCAGCAGCCGCGGUAAUACGUAGGUGGCAAGCGUUGUCCGGAAUUAUUGGGCGUAAAGCGCGCGCAGGCGGUUUCUUAAGUCUGAUGUGAAAGCCCCCGGCUCAACCGGGGAGGGUCAUUGGAAACUGGGAAACUUGAGUGCAGAAGAGGAGAGUGGAAUUCCACGUGUAGCGGUGAAAUGCGUAGAGAUGUGGAGGAACACCAGUGGCGAAGGCGACUCUCUGGUCUGUAACUGACGCUGAGGCGCGAAAGCGUGGGGAGCGAACAGGAUUAGAUACCCUGGUAGUCCACGCCGUAAACGAUGAGUGCUAAGUGUUAGAGGGUUUCCGCCCUUUA
rnacentral:rRNA from 1 species